GGUAGGACAUCUGGGAAUAGAGAAAUGAGGGAGAGGCAGGAACUUCGGGCCUCGAACAGGAGCCAGGGAUCGUCUGGAGCUGCUUUGGUGGGAUGGAGAAGUGUCGCCACCCAUUCCGAGUUUGGGGUGCAUUCCUCCAGAUACGGAUAGACAGACCUAUCUCCAACCUUAUCAUGUGUAUCAGAUUAGUCCCACUUUACAGAUGAGGAAACUGCAGCACAGAAAAGGUUGAAGCCUUCAUCCAAGACCAAGACCUGGUACGGGAAGGAGCUAAGAUUCAAAUCCAGAUCCUCUGACUCACAAAUCAACGCAUUCCUUCUGCUAUGCCCCGCGUGUAAAAUUUUAUGGAUAAAGAAACCGAGG